CUGGCCGUAAACGAUGGAUGCUAGGUGCUGGCAGAUCUAACCCUGUCUGUGCCGAAGCUAACGCGUUAAGCAUCCCGCCUGGGAAGUACGAUCGCAAGAUUAAAACUCAAAGGAAUUGACGGGGACCCGCACAAGCAGCGGAGCGUGUGGUUUAAUUCGAUGCUACACGAAGAACCUUACCCAGGUUUGACAUACAGGUAGUAGUGAACCGAAAGGGGAACGACCCGCAAGGGAGCCUGAACAGGUGU
rnacentral:rRNA from 1 species